UACAGAGGGGGCAAGCGUUGUUCGGAAUUACUGGGCGUAAAGGGCGCGUAGGCGGCCUUCUAAGUCGAACGUGAAAUCCCCGGGGCUCAACCGGGGAACUGCGUCCGAUACUGGAUGGCUAGAGUUCGGGAGAGGGAUGCGGAAUUCCAGGUGUAGCGGUGAAAUGCGUAGAUAUCUGGAGGAACACCGGUGGCGAAGGCGGCAUCCUGGACCGACACUGACGCUGAGGAGCGAAAGCCAGGGGAGCAAAGCGGG
rnacentral:rRNA from 1 species